rnacentral:lncRNA from 1 species
AUGAACAAGACAGAACAGAAAAGGAAGACAAAGGGAAAGACAGCAAGGAAAGCAAAAAAUAGAGCUUCAUUUUUGAUAUAUUGUUUACAGCCUGUGAAAGUGAUUUAUUUGUGUUAAUAAAACUCUUUUGAGGAAGUCUAUGCCAAAAUCCUUUUUAUCAAAAUAUUCUCGAAGGCAGUGCAGUCACUAACUCUGAUUUCCUAAGAAAGGUGGGCAGCAUUAGCAGA